AUUGAACGCUGGCGGCAUGCUUUACACAUGCAAGUCGAACGGCAGCGCUGGCUUGUGCCUUGCGACGAGUGGAGCACGGGUGAGUAAUGCAUCGGAACGUGCCCAGUUGUGGGGGCUAGCCCGGCGAAAGCCGGAUUAAUACCGCAAACGACCAGAGGGUGAUAGCGGUUGUCCGAAAAGCCUUGCUCUAUUGGAGCGGUCGAUGUCGGAUUAGCUAGUUGGUGGGGUAAAGGGUUACUAAGGCGACUAUCCGUAGCUGGUCUGAGCGGACGAUCGGCCACACUGGGACUGAGACACGGCGCAGACUCCGAGGGGAGGCAGCAGUGGGGAAUUGUGGACAAUGGGGGCAACCAUGAUCCAGCCAUGCGGCGUGGGAGAAGAAGGCCUGCGGGUUGUAAACCGCUUUUGGUGGGGAAGAAAUCUUCGGGGGUAAUACCCCGGGGGGAUGAGGGUACCGGAAGAAAAAGAACCGGCUAACUACG
rnacentral:rRNA from 1 species